CUUUCUCUAUUUGCCGGCCCAUGGCAUUGCUGCCACCCUGAUGGAGCGCCCUCUCAUCUGGCACCUGCCUGGCCUCUUUCCCAAGCCCCAGUUCUGUCCAUGCAGCUGUGGGUGCUUCCUGCAUUGGGGGUCCCACCGGAAGGAGCCAAGAGUGCCCCUGGUUGAGUCAGGAAAGAAUUCCAUCUUCACGUCGCUGCCAGAAAAUGACCACAGCAGCUUCACGACCCCUGCAGGAACCUAUCUCGGUAAAGAAACGGAGCUUAUGUGGUGGCCAAGCCUCAGGUGUGGCCGAGCUUCAGGUGUGGCCCUUAUGCACAGCACAGCCCAAGCCUGUGGGCACCACUCGCCCUGGGCUGCCUGGCACCUGGACUCCUUCCCAUCCUUGGCCGAGGCCUGUGUGGCCCUUCAGGGCCGAACCCAACAGUGUCUUCCUCCUGAGUCUGCCCCCCAGGCCUCCUGCCCCCCAGGCUGUUUCAUGGCCUCUGCAGGGAGCUUCGUAGAGGUGAGGCUGGUGCCGUCUCUCUGCUUCAGACCACUGCAGGCUCUGCGUGCCCUCACAGUCCCCUCUGCGCUUCUCUGUGGGGCGGGGAAGCCUUUCCCAUCAGGUGUGCUCCAGCCUGGCUGCCUUGUUACUGCUGCCCCCUCCCCUUCAGGCCCCGGUACAAGACUUCAGUGUACUUGCUGGUGCCGGGCAGAAUGGGGGACCUUGCCUCUCACACACACCUGCUACUAUCUCUGCAACCUCCAGGCAUGAUCUCAGCUGACAGUGACGCCAUCCUGGGGAAGCUCCCCUGACUCCUGGCUCUCCUGGAAACCUGUGGUGCUCCUUCACAAUGGCCAGUGGCCCUUCAUAGGUCCCGUAAGCCAGUGUCACAGGGAUCCGGCUUUUCUCUUCUGUGUCUGUCUGCUGCGGGACCCUGAGCAGCUUCAGGGCCAAGACAGUGCCUUUCCAUCCGUGAACCUCCUGAUCCAUCAGAAUGCUCAAAAGAGAGUGAUGCCCAAGAAAUACUGACUGAGUAUAUUCAUUAAAGAAUUAAUGUUCCUUACAGGAUCAUUUGUUGUUGAACUGACAUGACAUGUGUAUAGUAAUCUCAUCAACAAGAGAGAAUGUGUUCACACGUUCGCUUAAAUUGAAUUUAGCAGUCGCAUUAGGAUACUGAUAUUUCCACAAUGUAUGUACACUAUCCUUUUAAAUUUAACUUAUUUGCUUUUUAGACGGAAGCUCAUCAGGCUUAGAGAGUCCUGAAGGUGGAUUUCUCAGCCACGUUCAACCUGAUGAGUUCACCGGUUCUUCCCCAAACACUGCAGAGCAGCAGGAAAUUUGGGCUGUGAACUUACGUGUGAUAUUUACUAUUAUGCAAAUGCUCAGACGACACACAUGACCUACCCUGAUGGUUUGGAAGUUGUGCAGUUUCUUAACAAGCAGACAGAUGAGACCCUCUAGCUUCAGGAAAAAAAGCUCAGGGCAGUAGAGUGCAGUGGCUCACGCCUGUAAUCCCAGCACUUUGGGAGGCCAAGGUGGGCAGAUCACAAGGUGAGGAGUUCGAGACCAGCCUGGUCAACAUAGGGAAACCCUAUCUCUUCUAAAAAAAAAAAAAUACGAAAAAUUAGCUGGGCGUGGUGGAAGGCACCUGUAAUCUUAGCUACUCAGGAGGCUGAGGCAGGAGAAUCGUUUGAACCUGGGAGGUGGAGGUUGCAGUGAGCCGAGAUCAUGCCAUUGCACUCCAGCCCGGGUUACAGUGUGAGAUUUUGUCAAAAAAAACCAAAAA
rnacentral:sRNA from 1 species